UACGUAGGGUGCGAGCGUUAAUCGGAAUUACUGGGCGUAAAGCGUGCGCAGGCGGUUUUGUAAGUCAGAUGUGAAAUCCCCGGGCUUAACCUGGGAAUGGCAUUUGGGACUGCAAGGCUGGAGUGCGGCAGAGGAGACUGGAAUUCCUGGUGUAGCAGUGAAAUGCGUAGAGAUGCGGAGGAACACCGAUGGCGAAGGCAGCCCCCUGGGCCAACACUGACGCUCAGGCACGAAAGCGUGGGGAGCAAACAGG
rnacentral:rRNA from 1 species